GACAGAGGGUGCAAACGUUGUUCGGAAUUACUGGGCGUAAAGCGUGUGUAGGCGGCUACAUAAGUCGGAUGUGAAAGCCCCGGGCUCAACCCGGGAAGUGCACUCGAUACUGCGUAGCUUGAGUCUCGGAGAGGUUGGUGGAAUUCUCGGUGUAGAGGUGAAAUUCGUAGAUAUCGAGAGGAACACCGGUGGCGAAGGCGGCCAACUGGACAGAUACUGACGCUGAGACACGAAAGCGUGGGGAGCAAACAGG
rnacentral:rRNA from 1 species